ACAGCUCAGUAACACGUGGACAACCUACCCAAAGGUCUGGGAUAACUCCGGGAAACUGGGGAUAAUACCGGAUAGGUCAAGAGUACUGGAAGGGUUUUUUGAUUGAAAGCUCUGGCGCCUUUGGAUGGGUCCGCGGCUGAUUAGGUUGACGCCGGUGUAAAGUACCGGCGUGCCGAUUAUCAGUACGGGUUGUGGGAGCAAGAGCCCGGAGAUGGAUUCUGAGACACGAAUCCAGGCCCUACGGGGCGCAGCAGGCGCGAAAACUCUACAAUGCAGGCAACUGCGAUAGGGGAACAUCGAGUGGCAUCUACAUUAGGUGUCUGUCCAGCUGUCUAAAAAACGGCUGUUAGCAAGGGCCGGGCAAGACCGGUGCCAGCCGCCGCGGUAAUACCGGCGGCUCGAGUGGUGGCCGAUAUUAUUGAGUCUAAAGGGUCCGUAGCCGGCUUUGCAAGUCUUGUGGGAAAUCCAGCGGCUUAACCGUUGGGCGUCUGCGGGAUACUACAUUGCUUGGGACUGGGAGAGGUAGGAGGUACUCAGGGGGUAGGAGUGAAAUCCUGUAAUCCUCUGGGGACCACCGGUGGCGAAGGCGUCCUACCAGAACAGGUCCGACGGUGAGGGACGAAAGCUAGGGGCACGAACCGGAUUAGAUACCCGGGUAGUCCUAGCCGUAAACGAUGCCCGCUAGGUGUCACGGCAGUCGUGAACUGCCGUGGUGCCGUAGGGAAGCCGUGAAGCGGGCCACUUGGGAAGUACGACCGCAAGGUUGAAACUUAAAGGAAUUGGCGGGGGAGCAC
rnacentral:rRNA from 1 species